AUUCUAUUAGUAUAACAAAUAAUUACAUUUAGUUUCCACCUAAAAAAUCUUAUGAUAGAAUA
rnacentral:tRNA from 1 species